GACAGAGGGUGCAAGCGUUGUCCGGAAUCAUUGGGCGUAAAGCGCGUGUAGGCGGCCCGAUAAGUCCGCUGUGAAAGUCCAGGGCUCAACCCUGGGAUGCCGGUGGAUACUGUCGGGCUCGAGUCCGGAAGAGGCGAGUGGAAUUCCUGGUGUAGCGGUGAAAUGCGCAGAUAUCAGGAGGAACACCAAUGGCGAAGGCAGCCCCCUGGGCUAACACUGACGCUCAGGCACGAAAGCGUGGGGAGCAAACAGG
rnacentral:rRNA from 1 species